rnacentral:rRNA from 1 species
GACGAACGCUGGCGGCGUGCCUAAUACAUGCAAGUAGAACGCUGAAGGAGGAGCUUGCUUCUCUGGAUGAGUUGCGAACGGGUGAGUAACGCGUAGGUAACCUGCCUGUUAGCGGGGGAUAACUAUUGGAAACGAUAGCUAAUACCGCAUAACAGUAGAUAUCGCAUGAUAUCUACUUGAAAGGUGCAAUUGCAUCACUACCAGAUGGACCUGCGUUGUAUUAGCUAGUUGGUGUGGUAACGGCUCACCUAGGCGACGAUGCAUAGCCGACCUGAGAGGGGGGGUGGCCGCCCUGGGAGUGAGACACGGCACAUUCGGCUUGGGGAGGGAGCAGUAGGGCAUCGUCGGGAAGCGGCGGAAGUUAUACCGCGCUGGGCCGAGUGAGGAAAGAGGGUUGUCGGGUCGUAAAGCUCGGUUGUAAGGGAAGAACGAGUGUGAGAGUGGAAAGUUCACACUGUGACGGUAUCUUACCAGAAAGGGACGGCUAACUACGUG